rnacentral:rRNA from 1 species
UACCCAUGAGCAGGAUGAAGCGAAAGUAAAAUUUCGUGGAGGUCCGAACCCACGAGCGUUGAAAAGCUCGGGGAUGACUUGUGGGUAGCGGUGAAAUUCCAAUCGAGCCCGGAGAUAGCUGGUUCUCCCCGAAAUAGCUUUAGGGCUAGCCUCAAGGUGAGAGAUACGGAGGUAGAGCACUGAAUGUCCUAGGGGGUAUUGCACCUACCGAAGACUAUCAAACUCCGAAUGCCGUCAUCUUAUACUUGGGAGUCAGACUGUGGGUGAUAAGAUUCAUAGUCGAAAGGGCAACAGCCCAGAUCGUCAGCUAAGGUCCCUAAAUGUAAGUUAAGUGGUAAAGGAUGUGGGAUUGCACAGACAACCAGGAUGUUGGCUUAGAAGCAGCCACUCAUUCAAAGAGUGCGUAAUAGCUCACUGGUCGAGUGAUCCUGCGCCGAAGAUUUCCGGGGCUAAAACUUACUACCGAAGCUACGGCAUCAGUAAUGAUGGGUAGGGGAGCUUCCCAUACGGGUUGAAGCAUGACCGUAAGGACAUGUGGACAGUAUGGGAGUGAGAAUGUUGGCAUGAGUAGCGAGAUGUGGGUGAGAAUCCCACAGGCCGUAAACCCAAGGUUUCCAGGGGAAGGUUCGUCCGCCCUGGGUUAGUCGGGACCUAAGCUGAGGCCGAAAGGCGUAGGUGAUGGACAACAGGUUGAU